rnacentral:misc_RNA from 1 species
UUUAUCUUUUCUCUUCGCCUUCUCUCUGAAAUAACACGGUUUCUAUCAAUGUCAUCAACUUCUGGUCUCCAAAGGCUAUUCUUUUUACCAUUUUCUCUGCUGAAUUUAUGUAUAACACCAGCAUGCAUUCUAGGAACUUCAAGAAGUACCUUCUUCAAUAGUUUUUGUGCAGUUCCAAAUCUCGGCAUCUGAAUAUCGGUUUUCCAACUAGCAAAACUUGACUUUUUAUUCAUAUUUCUAAAAUGUGGUCCCAAAGUUAAUUGGUCAGAACUCUUUAAAAGAGUAGAAAGGACAGCUUGAUAUUGAGCAUCAUCUCCUUGGUGAUCUAAAAGAUGCGGUUUCUUCUGAUCGUUCUCUUGACGGUCUAGUGGGCAAGGCUUAGUUUCCUUCUCUCCACUCGAAAGAGGGGACAACUUUUCACAAUUUGCAUUGUUUUGAGAGAUGCAGUCACUGGAAUUCAAGGAAUUAUUCGCACCAUUACUGAUAUUAUCAUCCAUGAACCUCCAGCUUUGAGCUUGUGAAGUUUCCCCAAUACCGUCUACCACCAUCAGUGAAUCUUCUGCCUCUUGAUUGGCGACAAAACCAUUUGAACUAUCAUGAGGUGAAUUUAUUUCAACUGGAUAAGCAUCAUUUUCAAGUGCAUUAUGAUCAGGCUUUUGGCUACCGAUAUUCGUGUCAUUUUUUGCAUCGUUGGAGACAUAAUUAGGCCUCUUCAAAAUAACGGAGUAAUCAACCUCUAGAAAGGAAUUUUUUAUUUGCUGAAUGAGGUUAGGA